rnacentral:rRNA from 1 species
CUUAUGAUGGCGACCGGCGCACGGGUGCGUAACGCGUAUGCAACCUACCUUUUACAGGGGCAUAACACUGAGAAAUUGGUACUAGUUCCCCAUAAUAUCUGAGACGGCAUCGUUUUGGGUUGAAAACUCCGGUGGUAAAAGAUGGGCAUGCGUUGUAUUAGCUAGUUGGUGAGGUAACGGCUCACCAAGGCGACGAUACAUAGGGGGACUGAGAGGUUAACCCCCCACAUUGGUACUGAGACACGGACCAAACUCCUACGGGAGGCAGCAG